rnacentral:rRNA from 1 species
ACUCAAAUGAAUUGACGGGGACCCGCACAAGCAGCGGAGCAUGUGGUUUAAUUCGAAGCAACGCGAAGAACCUUACCAGAACUUGACAUCCCUCUGACCGGUCCUUAAUCGGAUCUUCUCUUCGGAGCAGAGGUGACAGGUGGUGCAUGGUUGUCGUCAGCUCGUGUCGUGAGAUGUUGGGUUAAGUCCCGCAACGAGCGCAACCCUUGUCAUUAGUUGCCAGCAUUUCGGAUGGGCACUCUAGUGAGACUGCCGGGGAUAACUCGGAGGAAGGUGGGGAUGACGUCAAAUCAUCAUGCCCCUUAUGUUCUGGGCUACACACGUGCUACAAUGGCUGGUACAAAGAGAAGCAAGAGAGUGAUCUGGAGCAAAUCUAUAAAACCAGUCCCAGUUCGGAUUGUAGGCUGAAACUCGCCUACAUGAAGUUGGAGUUGCUAGUAAUCGCGAAUCAGAACGUCGCGGUGAAUGCGUUCCCGGGUCUUGUACACACCGCCCGU